rnacentral:lncRNA from 1 species
GACUCUCUUGUCUUUCUUCGCCGGUUGUUUUUUUUCGCAUUCCAUUUUUCAGGUUGCGACAAUGGGUAAGAAGAACUGCAUAGCCAGGGAAGCUUACACCAGGUGGGUAAAAGACAGAGUCAAGGAGAUAUUGCUGUCAUUUCCAUCUAAACCAUCCAUGAGCAUCAAGCCUCCUGAACCCGUGAUCAAUCAGACUUCUGAAGUCGAUGAGCUAAAAAGAACUAUCAAGGCCCUAGAGAAAGAGAACGCCGAUCUCAAAACUACACUUGGU